rnacentral:misc_RNA from 1 species
AAGUCGUAACAAGGUUUCCGUAGGUGAACCUGCGGAAGGAUCAUUACUGAGUUCAUGCCCUCACGGGUAGAUCUCCACCCUUGAAUAUUUAAACCUUUGUUGCUUUGGCGGGCCGCUUCGGCCACCGGCUUUGGCUGGUGAGUGCCCGCCAGAGAAACCAAAACUCUGAAUUAUAGUGUCGUCUGAGUACUAUAUAAUAGUUAAAACUUUCAACAACGGAUCUCUUGGUUCUG